CCCUAGCCCCGAUAGAAGUGGAAAUCCUUUUGUGGCGGGGUUAGCCACAAAAGAUAGCAACGGAUAGCGGGAUUAGCU
rnacentral:sRNA from 1 species